GCAGAGCCUGACUCUGUAAUAAGUCUCACAUUACACAUGGAUUAGAUUUGUAGAAAUCCUGUAACUCAAUAGGUACCUGCCUAUUCUCUGCUGGCGUCAGGCUGCCUGCACUACUUUGCUCUGUAGACAUACCUGGCAUUCCACCCGUGCCUCCUUGCUGGCUAAGUGGGCUGGAGCCUGCCUACCAAAACAUUGGGGUAUUGUUGGGAAGGGGAGACCCCCUUGACAGACGAGCGAAGUGUGAAGCAGUUCAUCAUCUCAUCCUGGAAGAUAAUGAAGACUCCUAGUGAUCUUAUGAAGAUGUGUAUGUGAUCCUAAGAACCUACUAACAACUUUUAACAUUAAAUGUUAAUAAAGCCUAAAAGUCAUAUUAACAUUAAGAGAUCCUAUUUCUGUUUUAAUGUUGAGGAGGAAUUUGUUUAAUGGAUUACCAUCACAGAAUAUGUGAUAGCAAUUAAUAUCUGUUUUAGAACUUUGGCAA